GUGAUUCUCCUGUCUCAGCCUCCCAAAUAGCUGAAAUUACAGCCCAUCUCUGUGUAUCACUCCUAAUGGAUCCAGAGAGAUACAUCACCCAGACACAGAAAAAUAGACACAGCUGCCUAUGGAGGAAAUUCUGCAGAGCCACCAAGGUGGCCCCAGGACAGAGCAGCUGCCCAGCGCCUCACCCCCAUCCCCGGGCAGCGGCAGUCCUCGGAGCAGACAGUUACAGAGUCAGAGAGACCCAGAGAAAAGCAGAGAUAUAAACAAGAGACCACAACAGUGGGAUUGAGAAUGUGCAAGGUAAGGAUACAAGAAAACCCUGAAAAUGACAGACACGGAGACAGCUGGAGACAGACACUUCUGGAAUGGAAGCUGGGAAGGAGAGGCUCAUUAAUUCAGACUUAUUUACCUCAGGCUCAAACCAGAAUGGAAGCGCCAUGAGAUAAACAUCUGCCCAGUGAAUGACCCAGUCACAUGGCAAGACAGAGACAUAGAGAGAUGGGGACAGUAUUUCUAGGUCAAAGGUGAGGGAGGGAGAGAAUAUUGGAAGCCCAGGGGCUGGGAGGAACUGGGACAGAAAGUUAAGAUGUUGCCAGACUCACCCAGGCAAAGACAUGGCGAAAGUGAAAGAAAGGCAUUGUGAAGACCCUGUUUCUCUAGCUGUGCAGCUGCAAGAUCACUAGACAGGAUAAACUCAAGUCGUAAAACAUGUUUUUCCUUGAAAUGCAAGAAAUAAUGUAAUGUAUGACUCAGUUGAAUAACUCUGUUUCUCUCUUCUCUAACAUGCUUCCCCAUGCACAGAUCUCCCCCAGCCCCACAAAAUGCUUAAAAGCUAACCUGACUCUUUGUUCGGGGCUCAGUCUUUGUUUGGAUGUUAAUCUGACUGGGUCGGUGCACCUAAAUAAUAAAUAAUAAGUAUCCUCCUCAA